rnacentral:rRNA from 1 species
ACAAUGCGGAACUUUUUAGUUUUGCAAUUGGAUUGAGAACAAUGUACAAAUGUUAUCGAUAAACAAUUGGAGGGCAAGUCUGGUGCCAGCAGCCGCGGUAAUUCCAGCUCCAAUAGCGUAUAUUAACGUUGUUGCAGUUAAAAAGCUCGUAGUUGAAAUGUGGGAUGAUUGUUAUGAUGGAUCUAUGUAUUCGAUUAUAAUAUGAAUCCCCUCUCCAAUUUAUUAUUAUGGGUAUUAAUUUAUUUGUAAUAAGAAUUGGUCAUUUACUGUGAGAAAAUUAGAGUGUUCAAAGCAGGCAUUUGCUUGAAUAGAUUAGCAUGGAAUAAUAGUAAAAGGCUUUUAUGGUGCUUAAUUGGUUUAAUCAUAGAAGCAAGAUUAAAAGGAACAGUUGGGGGUAUUCAUAUUCAAUAGUUAGAGGUGAAAUUCUCGGAUUUAUGGAAGAUGAACAA